rnacentral:rRNA from 1 species
CCUACGGGGGGGCAGCAGUAGGGAAUCUUCGGCAAUGGACGAAAGUCUGACCGAGCAACGCCGCGUGAGUGAAGAAGGUUUUCGGAUCGUAAAACUCUGUUGUUAGAGAAGAACAAGUAGGAGAGUAACUGCUCUUACCUUGACGGUAUCUAACCAGAAAGCCACGGCUAACUACGUGCCAGCAGCCGCGGUAAUACGUAGGUGGCAAGCGUUGUCCGGAUUUAUUGGGCGUAAAGCGAGCGCAGGCGGUCUUUUAAGUCUGAUGUGAAAGCCCUCGGCUCAACCGAGGAAGGUCAUUGGGAACUGGAGGACUUGAGUGCAGAAGAGGAGAGUGGGAUUCCACGUGUAGCGGUGAAAUGCGUAGAGAUCUGGAGGAAUACCGGUGGCGAAGGCGGCCCCCUGGACAAAGACUGACGCUCAGGUGCGAAAGCGUGGGGAGCAAACAGGAUUAGAUACCCGAGUAGUC